CCCAAAUAACCUUUUUCUACUAGAUGUGUACUUUUACUAUAUAGUUUACUUAUGGUUUAUACAGUAAGCGCGGUUGGCUGAACGACGGCUAACUUGACCUCAGUACUGUACUGUGGCAGAAUGAACGAGCGGGAAGGCUUUUUAUUUUUUAAACAAGUGACAACGACAAAAGUGAUAAUGAACUUUGCUUUUCUAAAUUGUCAAGAAAGGGAGUAAAAAUAUCCAAACAAUUAGCAAAAUGCACAGUACAACAAGUUUGCUAAUACUAACUCAGGCUGUGCAAAUAACAGAAGCUAACUUAGUGUUAGCUUGACUGGAAAAAAACUGGAUUUGACCGCCUUCCGAGCGCGCUGGAGCCCAGAUACGACAUUCCAUCCACUGCCAACAAAGAUGGGUCGAUCUAAGCUGGAGGAGCAAAACACCAGACUUCAAAGACAACUUACUACGGAUGGGUGCAUGCAGCAAGAACUAUUUAUCAAUAUUAUAUUUUCUUUGUUGUGUGUGUAUUUGAAUAUUUGCAGUGCUAGUGCCAGAUCACCCUGCUGAGCCAUAGAUCACCCUGUGAUGCAUGUAAUGGACCCAGAUGUGAGACAGAGACGAUUUCCUGCACCCUGUUCCUCUGCCAAAGAGCACGUGGGAAGUCUCCUAUAUUAAUGUUGGUGUACAUAUGUGCCAAACCUGUUAUGUUUCAACUCCCAUAACACAGGCAAAUUUUGAAUUUGUUUACCAGCAAGUAGGAUUGUGUCACAUCUGUGUUAAUUUACACAGUGAACACACACAGUUGGCUGUGUGGUAUUUUACCAUUCAUUUAAGUAUUAAACGAAGCAUAAAACCUUACAGAUGAACAUCGAUGAACCAUGAAUGAAGCUUGAGUUCACAGUCAUUGCAUUCAGUAAUUUGUAUUUAUCCUUUGACCUUUGUGAAAUAGAUAACUCUUUCAUUUGGAUUUAGACCAUCAGCAAAAGAAUGAAUACACCAAAGAUUGGAUCAAACAUGGAUGUUACCCAAAAGAGAAUGGUAUUGUUGAAGGCUAAUGUUCCUCUGCAGUGCAAAAGUUGUGAAAACUCCUUGUUCAAUAAUCAGAAGGCAACAUGAAUCUGCAUAGGCAUGGUAACGAGAUUUGGGGAUUUUCCAUAUAUAAUAUAAUCACCAGGUCACAGGUAAGCAUGAAAUGCAUCAAUUUCCUUUACACAGCCUCUCUAAUUACAGGGUUUUGUUUUGUACAUAAUCAUAUAUAUAAUUUCUGUGGUUCAAACAACACGGAACUACAAACAUUUGUCAAAAUGUUCAAGUGAUCAACAAUCACACUAUGAGUGUAAAUCUUAUUUGGUGAUGUGUAUGGUAGAGACCCUCCAAGAUAGAGCGGCAAUAACACAGAGAAAGUUAGUGAAACCUUUGUAAUCAGGUCAGCGCUCCUGUUAAAUCUAGACAUUCACUUAACUUGAUUGAACAGUGUUUUAUUUUUGCAUACGUAAUUACAAGUCACAAGAAUCAACAGAACUUAAAACAAGCCAUGAAGCCAAAAUGGCCAGAACCGAGACUGAUUCAAGAGGGGUGAUAACAUGAUAAUAAUUAUGAUCAAGGUUAUAUAGGACACGAAACACAACAAAAUGUAUUAGUUCAUUUCAGUUCAAGUACUUGUGUUUAAACCAAAUGAGGAUUUGAGCUUACUGUAUGUGGAUCAUUUAAAUUAGACUUAUUGUUAGUUCAUUGUGUGAAUGUUUGCAAUGUAAAAUAUGUAUUUCUCUACAUUGUACCAGCUGGAGGUCAUGACAUUGUUUUACAUGACCUGUGCAUAUAAUCCUUCACAUAUUUACUCCACAACCAGAUGAAACUCAUCCUUUAAAUAUGAGCGGAGUUAUUGCUGUCCUGCAGGUGGAGCCACUGCUUUGUGGAGAUUAGCAGUGGUGAAGCUGAUCAGAAGUGACCAGAUCUAAACGUGUUGCCUGUCUCUGAUUGUCUGUGAGCUGGUUGUGAAGCUCAGAAAGCUUUUAAUGAUCUGACCACAGCAGAGAUACUGCAGCAGCUGACUGAAUAUUUCAUUUAGCUUCCUGUGUUUGCUAGUAACAGUCAGUGAUACUUCUUUUCUCCUGUAUUCUCUCUCUUGAGUCACUGGUGUUGAGACCGGUGGUGGUGUCUUCUUUGUCUCUGCAGAACAAACAGGAAAAGACAUGAACCCUGAACCUGGAUCGACCCCACGGGUGUCUAUGAAGAUUCUGAAUUUUCUGCAACGUGGCCUAAUGGGCUUGGACCCCGAUCAGCUGAAGCAGGACUCCUUCAGGAUGCUGAGGCAUCCUAUGCCCCCGAAACAGCUGGGCUUCAGGGACAUCUGGGAUAUGGUGGAGGACACGCCAAACGUUUUAUGUAUGAACUUCAGCUACAGGUCUACUCAAAACAUUAUGGAGCUGGUGGCUGAACAGCGAGUGUCAAGGACAGACAAGACGUUCAGGCAGAGAGGAGGAGUCACAAAAAAAACAUUUACAUUUAUACAGCGUGGUAAUAAUAAUUCUCAUCCAGUUUUUGUGUGAAGUUACUAAUUCGUAGACAAACCGGUAUGAAUUGGUCGAACUCAAAAGAUCGACUGGUGACUUUUCAGGCAUUCACAGCGGGUGCGAUCACGAGUGUGAGAGAAUGAGGCCGCUCAUGUACCCACACAGGCAAAAAGGAGAAAAAGCAACCCUUUGAGAAUUUGAGAAACCUAGUGGCUCAUUAAAAUAAUAAUAAUGGGAAUUCAGUAAAACGACACACUCAACACUGACAGUUCUCUGUACAUGCGAAUGAGACACUCCUCAUUCUGUUCUGUCUUACUUGCAUUCAGACUUACCUACACACAUCAUCUUUGCCCUGUGCUUUGACAAAACCCGUGGUGUCAACAUUGCAUCACACACACAAACAAAAAGUGUCCUGCCACAUUAACUGCAGAUAUGAGGCUCUUUAUGAGACGCGAUAUCAUCGCUGCUUUUAGUUGCCUUGUCAGAGCUACAGAGAAAAGAUAUUGCUACCUCCGCGUUAGGGCUCCCAAGUAAUCAGUCAACACAUUAUGGUGUGUCAGCGCAACCUCACAUCAUUGUUUUCAUUGGUUUUUACUCACCUUCCGUCAUCUCCAUUGUUCAGGCUGAUGCUACUGUAAACCAGUGGGUUGCAGUUGCAGCUGUUCUGAAAAAACCACCUGCAUCUUUACCACCUCUGGCUAACGGCUGCUGCUGCUUUACAAAGAACACGUUUAGCUACAGGUAAAGAUUAUUUCCAUCCUUCCAUCCCUCUACUUUCAGGAUUUCAGCACAUGUCGAAGUGUAAGCAAGUAUAAAAUGUAAGAGUCAGUUCAUUUGCAUGAAACUGAGGGACCAGAGAUUCACGUUUUAUUGGAUAGUGUUUACAACUUGCUAUUUCAAAUAAAACUACUUUAAAUGACUCAUGAAACAUGUUUUUACUGUUUUUACCCAGAAAAAACAUAACCACAACCAGAUAACAGUUGAUGGGACAUUUGCCGUUCUGAAUCUAAGAAAAAAAGGAAAAAGAAUCAUAAUCAUAAACAUUUACAGUAGCAGUAUAAAAAAAUUAAUUUGAAAUCUUUUAAAACAAACCAGUAGCAGCUUAUGUUUGAUGGACAUCGCUGACAGUGCAGAGUUAAGUAGGAAGUGUUAACUGAUUCGCCAAGGGGAUCAAUAAAGCAUGUCUUAAAAAAUCAUGGAUUAGUAGGAAACCUGAUACUGCACCAAACCCCUCUUUAACUUACGUACUGUAGCUCACGUUACUACUGAGGAAAUAACCAACACCAGGAAGUGAGUCACAGGUCUAAUGCAGUCAUUGAAGAUGAGAAAAACAUUUUAACGGCGAGUCAAGAAUCUGUGUUAUGUAGCAUUUUUAUUUUAGUGGCCACAGAAGUAUUGAUUACUUCCAGUAAAUCGGAUUCCCACUGUUCAAAAGUCCAAAGUGUCCUGAAUCUUUUGUGUCUGUGUGGAUAUGAUAGAGCUGUCGCUCAAUAGCAACAGCUUGUGAUGAGGGACAGACACUUCCUAACGUUACUGUCAGACCUGUGCUGUUGGUGUGAAGCAGCUGCUCC